UGACGGGACCGCACAAGCGGUGGAUGAUGUGGAUUAAUUCGAUGCAACGCGAAAACCUUACCUACCCUUGACAUGUCCGGAAUCCCGAAGAGAUUUGGGAGUGCUCGCAAGAGAACCGGAACACAGGUGCUGCAUGGCUGUCGUCAGCUCGUGUCGUGAGAUGUUGGGUUAAGUCCCGCAACGAGCGCAACCCUUGUCAUUAGUUGCCAUCAUUUGGUUGGGCACUCUAAUGAGACUGCCGGUGACAAACCGGAGGAAGGUGGGGAUGACGUCAAGUCCUCAUGGCCCUUAUGGGUAGGGCUUCACACGUCAUACAAUGGUCGGUACAGAGGGUUGCCAACCCGCGAGGGGGAGCUAAUCCCACAAAGCCGAUCGUAGUCCGGAUCGCAGUCUGCAACUCGACUGCGUGAAGUCGGAAUCGCUAGUAAUCGUGGAUCAGCAUGUCACGGUGAAUACGUUCCCGGGUCUU
rnacentral:rRNA from 1 species